rnacentral:rRNA from 1 species
UUAGAGGAAGUAAAAGUCGUAACAAGGUUUCCGUAGGUGAACCUGCGGAAGGAUCAUUACAGUAUGAUUAGGGGGUUGGAUGCUGGCCCGCGAGGGCAUGUGCGCGCCCCCGUCUCCAAUCACACACACCUGUGCACCUAUGGCGAGUGUCUCCCAUUUUGGAGCCGUCCGACGUAACCCCUUCUCUCUCUGGAGGGGUGGGCCGGAUCGAGGCGCUUUCCCUCCUUUUACAUCUCAGCCUGUUCAAACGCAUGUCUUUUUGAGCCCCACGGGGUGGAAAAUUGUAAUACAACUUUCAACAACGGAUCUCUUGGCUUUCGCAUCGAUGAAGAACGCCGCGAAAGUGCGAAACGUAAUGUGAAUUGCAGAAUUCAGUGAAUCAUCGAAUCUUUGAACGCAUCUUGCGCUCCUUGGUAUUCCGAGGAGCAUGCCUGUUUGAGUGUCGUGAAACACCCUCAGCCCUGCCUCCUUUGCUGGAGGGAAAGGUUGGAUUUUGGACGCUUGCGGCGGUCUCUCCCCGCCGCUCGUCUCUAAAUGCAUCAGCUGGGAAACCCCUUUGAGAGUUGGUUUGACGACGGUGUGAUAAUAUACGCUUCGUUGACUGUGGCGCCGUCCUAGGCCGACUCUGAACCGCGGGGGGCAGCUCAUAGCCGUCUUCGGACAAAUGAUUCACUUCCAUGUCAUCUGACCUCAAAUCAGGUAGGACUACCCGCCGAACUUAAGCAUAUCAAUAAGCGGAGGAAAAGAAACUAACAAGGAUUCCCCUAGUAACGGCGAGUGAAGCGGGAAGAGCUCAAAUUGUA